rnacentral:rRNA from 1 species
UACGUAGGCGCAAGCGUUAUCCGGAAUUAUUGGGCGUAAAGAGCGCGUAGGCGGUCCGGUAAGUCGGUUGUGAAACUGGGCUCAACCCUCAGAGGCCGACCGAUACUGUCGGCUAGAGUCCGGAAGAGGCGAGUGGAAUCCUGGUGUAGCGGUGAAUGCGCAGAUAUCAGAGGAACACCAUGGCGAAGGCAGCUCGCUGGGACGGUACUGACGCUGAGGCGCGAAAGCGUGGGGAGCAAACAGG